GACUAACGCUGGCGGCAUGCAUCAUACAUGCAAGUCGAACGGGAUCUAGUAGCAAUAUUAGGUUUAGUGGCGAACGGGUGAGUAACACGUAGGUAACCUGCCCUCGAGACCAGAAUAACGGGCCGAAAGGCUCGCUAAUGCUGGAUGUGACCCCGUCUUGGCAUCAAGAAGAGGUAAAGGCACGGCCGCAAGGCUUGCGCUGGAGGAUGGGCCUGCGGGCAUCAGCUAGUUGGUGGGUAACGGCCUACCAAGGCUAUGACGGCUAGCCGGCUUGAGAGAGUGAACGGCCACACUGGAACUGAGACACGGUCCAGACUCCUACGGGAGGCAGCAGUAGGGAAUCUUCCGCAAUGGGCGAAAGCCUGACGGAGCAAUGCCGCGUGAACGAUGAAGG
rnacentral:rRNA from 1 species